ACAGGGAAAUAAGAACAGAAAUAAAAGCACAAUGAAAUCACUGAUGCCACUGUUGUAAAAUUAAUGUUACACUGUAGCUUUAUAAAUGCUUCACCACUAUGACCGCAGAUUUGGGUGUAUGUUUGCAGCUCUGCAGGUCCAGACAAGCAGCUGCUGGGUUGCCAAUUAGCAAAUCAAAAGAAACGGCGGACAGGGUUGAUUGAUCGGAUAGCUAUGCUGUCUCCACGCAUUGAUUUGUACGCUGACCAAUUAACAAUGGUAGCAAUUAGCCGAAUCGCGGUGUAAAAAUCUGUUAGCGCCGGCAGGAGCGGAUGAUCUUCAAAUGACAUCAUCCAGGCACAGAUAAGCUGACUGGCUGGAGAGGCUACGUCUAUUUUGCGGUAUUUUCACACUGCAAAUACACGACCAUUUUGGUCGUGAUACCCGUACAAAUUGUAUAAGCAGCUGAAAAAAAAAAAAAGCUUUAUAAGACGCAGCUGGUUGUGCAGAAACGUGCUUCAGAUCUAACGCAUUUCGAGCCGCACUCUCGAAGUAUGUGGAAACCUUUGUAGCAAAUGUUUCCGUUCCAGGGUAUAGCCAGAGCCAACGAGACAGCUAGCUUAUCUAUAGCAAGGGCAUUUCUUAUCUAUUUUAAGCCACAGAGUUAUCUCAGACAAAAUAACAUCGUUCGGUAUCAAUGGACUGGCGACCUGUCCGGGGUGUUUUCUGCUUCUCGUCCACAGACCGUUGAUAGGUACCAGCUCUCCUGUGACCCUGUCCUGAAGAAGCGGAUAUAAAAAAUGAAUGGAUGUAUGGGAUCACACUCCUUGCAAGCAUUAUAGACUUGGUAAAGUCAAGUAGGAGGGGAAAAUGUAUUGUUUUGUUUGCAAACAAUCACAGUAAAAAAUAAAGGCUGCUAUACGGUGA